rnacentral:misc_RNA from 1 species
GAUUGCCUUUGCAGAAUCUCCAAGAUUUUUCAUGAGUUCAUGGUACUCCACUUGAAUGGAAUUACCAUGGUUUACACAAAACAAAGCAUCCACAUCUUGACAAAGACCUCUAAGAAGCUCAUACAUGUCGAGUAAACAAAAAAGACGUUCUGGUAGAAGGGGACCAAUAGCUACAGCUUGGCCAAAAUUCAAAAGACACAUCAUGGCAUCCUUUGAGACCUCAAUGAAACAUGUUGAACUGACAGAUCCAAACUCACCAAGAAUCUGAUCAAAGAGGUUUCUCUCACUAGGGAGAUAGAAUGCAAUGACAUUCUUCGUUGCCUGACGCCACUUCUUAAUUCUGCAAUUCAAGCUUGCCCAGUCCAUUCUCAGCACAUCUUCAAUGCUGAUUUGUUGCAUACAGAAAAGCCCCAAGUAUUCAUACAAUGCAUCUUUCCAGAAUCUGAUAAAAACUUGGCAAAAUUCCUGAACAUAAUGUGAAGCUAACAUCAGAUCUGCAAUGGACUUGAUAUAAGGAACAACGCCUGGAUGGACCAAAUCCAUUAU